AACGAACGCUGGCGGCAGGCCUAACACAUGCAAGUCGAGCGCACCCUUCGGGGUGAGCGGCGGACGGGUUAGUAACGCGUGGGAACGUGCCCAGAUCUAAGGAAUAGCCACUGGAAACGGUGAGUAAUACCUUAUACGCCCUUCGGGGGAAAGAUUUAUCGGAUUUGGAUCGGCCCGCGUUAGAUUAGAUAGUUGGUGGGGUAACGGCCUACCAAGUCUACGAUCUAUAGCUGGUUUUAGAGGAUGAUCAGCAACACUGGGACUGAGACACGGCCCAGACUCCUACGGGAGGCAGCAGUGGGGAAUAUUGCACAAUGGGCGCAAGCCUGAUGCAGCAACGCCGCGUGAGCGAAGAAGGUCUUCGGAUCGUAAAGCUCUUUCUUAGGGAAGAAAAUGACGGUACCUAAGGAAUAAGCACCGGCUAAAUACGU
rnacentral:rRNA from 1 species